rnacentral:rRNA from 1 species
AUGAUGUUGUCCUCGGACAAAUUUACCGCUAAAAGAAGCAAAUCCGAGCCUGUGAUCCAUAGUCUCCCGGAGGGUAUCAUGCACGACAUAGUAUCAAGGCUGACACUGAAGGAUGCCGUGAGGGCCAGUUUGGUGUCGACAAACUGGAGACGGCUGUGGACAUGCCAUUCCAAUUUAUGCUUUGACAGUCCUACGAUCCUGAACCGCGAGUAUGGCACCAUUAGCAGGAGGGGUAGCAGGAGGGGUAGAAGAAGACGCAGGUUCAUCAGGCGUAUCAAUGCUAUCCUGGAAUCCCACAGUGGCACACGGCUAAGAAGAUUUGAUAUCACGUUUGCUCUUGACACAAGGCACACGGAACAUCUGGAUCGAUGGCUCAAGUUCGCACUCGAUUCCAGGGCGUCUGAGAUUGCUAUUAAUUUGCACCCUGUGUUCUACAAGGAUUCUGUGAGGUCAUAUGAAUGGGAGGAUACAUACACCUUGCCGUUUCAUAUGUUUAGCAGUCAAGGGGCAUCUUACAUUGAGUCACUCCAGCUCACCUUUGCAUCGUUGAAGCUGCCCGGCGAUUUCGAUGGCCCUUUGAACCUUAGAGUGCUGGAUCUCCAGACUGUUCAUGUGUCGGAAGGAGAUCUCGAGCUGCUGUUGUCCAAGUGCAGUGCAUUGGAGUGUUUGCGCCUCGGUCGUUGUUACCCACUGCUUAAUCUGAAAGUGCAGAAUCCACUAUGUCGGCUGCGUAAUUUAUCUGUCCGGGGAUGUCAGCUGCAGGUUAUGGAAUUCAGUGCUCCGAAUCUAGCAAAAUUUGAGUAUUCAGGUCAGGCCGUACCCAUUACACUCGGUGAAUCCAUGAAGCCAACAGAAGCUACUGUGACGCUCUUGGGAUAUGAUGACACUCUUGAACAUGUCUUCACCGAACUUCCAAAGACCCUGUCUCGCGUGGAGAUACUAUCUGUGAACACUUGCAUAAACACCGAGGUGGUUGGAUUUUCAAAUUGCCUGAUGAAGUUUACUCAUCUGAUAAAACUGGAGGUGACUGUAAGUAUUCUCGGGGACUCGAGAAUCAGAAAUGGGAUUCUUCGUAUAGUGAGUCUUCUAGAGGUGGCCCCUCUUCUGCAAAGGCUCGAGUUAAAUAUGCUUCCACAUGUGUCGGUUGGGGUUUCCAACGAGCCUGAAGCUUACUGGCAUUUUCAGCCGUGCGCCCACCGUCAUCUUGAGCAGUUUGAGGUUUCAGGGUUUAUCGGUCUAAGAGGUCAACUUGAGGUGGUAUUGUGCAUCCUUGACAACGCAGUGGCUCUGAGGCGGAUGUCCAUAGAACCAAGGGUGACGGCAUAUGAUCGUGUCUUUGGACACUGGGCGGGGUUUGAGCAUAAUAUAGGAAAAGGCAGGGCAUGUGCCUUGGCCUUUUUUUCUCCUGAAGACUAUCCUGGCGUGCAGAUUGAGAUCUUCUGA